AAAAAUCCGCAUCAAAUCCAAGCAGUAAAGGCUGUGACUCACAACUACUCAGCAGCCAGAAAUCCUGUCAGGCAGGCCAAGCCUUCAUAUAGCAGGAGGUCACUGGAACACAGUCUGGCUCACCUCUCUCAUUGAUCAAAAGAGUGCAACCACUCAGACAUCUCCUGCUUGCCUUCCCUUUUAAAAGUCGAAUGCUGAGAAGCUGCUUCCGAGUGGGCAGAGAACAGGAUGACACAGAUACAAUAUUUCUGGGAAAUAAAAUUAAGUUUUAGCUCAGCAACUGCUGAAACUUACUGCGCUGAUGAGUUCUGCCUUGUAACCCAGGGGCUUCAGCCAAGAGAAACUUGAGUCAGAAGACCCAAUUUCACUUCCUGCCUCUGUUCCUACCCCACUGUUUGAUCUUGAAUUAGUCACUUCACCAUCCCUGGAAACAGAGUCCUUCUCUGAGGAAUACUGCUUGGGAACAGCCUGGAGAUCAGUGAGAACAAGGAAGAGAUGGGAUGCACCAGAAAACCGAACAAGAAAAAGAAAACAAGAGCAAAGCAGGUCCCCUGCUGUGCCCCCAGGUACAUGACCACAUGCCAGAAAGAAAAGCCAUCCAGAGCCACCUAUGCAGAUGCCCACAGAGCUUGCCAAGGAGCAGAUGCCUUGGGCAGUAAAUCAUCUACAGUUUGGUCUCUGGGGUUGUAUGACUGCCAUCAAAAAAUGCAGAGAGGAGGAGGAGACAAGGCCACUGGCAGUGAGCACUACUCUGAGCAGCACCUGGCCAGUAUCAGCUGUUUUGCAAAAGGAGUUGCAAGUGUAUAUUUCAAGGAAAAAGAAGAAACAAGAAAAAAAAAGAGAAAAAGUACCACUUUGUAAAGGUUUCUUGCUAUCACCGCUACCAGUUCCUCCGCUUCUAACUGAGAGGAAAAGCCCAGAAAUACCCGGGUGUAGAAGAUUAUGUCCUGACAACUUUAAUGCUAAGAGUCUUAGUGAUACCUUUUCACACACAACUUUUUAGUAGCAGUUUUAGCAGGUGUAAACUCUGUGUUCCCUCCUCACCCAGGCUGUUUCUCCCUGGGCUCAGGUCAAGACUUACGUUGUGCCAAUUCAAGUGUUUGGAGCGGAUAAUUGAUCCCACUGAAAACAAUUCUUUUUCCUUGCUUUUGGCUGGAUUUGCUCACUGAUCUGCUCACUGUACUAUCACACAAGCUGUUGUAACAGCAAGUACGGAGUGGGAGGUGAGGAGUGGGCUGCUCCUCUUGAUGGCUGUGUCGCUGUUUGACUGAAGUUAGAACAAAGGCAGACAUGAAAGAAGCUACAUUUAUCGCUUAAGCUGCUGGACAUCCCCCUUCAGGGAUGUCGCUAGUCAUAUUCUGUGCAGUAGAGGAACUGCAUCACUUAAAUACUUCAGAGCAAGAUCAAAAUGUUUCAAGAUGAGCUAACAUAGGAUGCUUUACUUUCUCAAGACGGCAUUCCACAAACAUCUGACCAAAGUGAGGGAACACCGUGCACGGUGCUGGGCUGAGAGGGAACUGCCACCAAAACUAAGAUGCUUUGUGUUUCAGCAUUCAACAGGCCUUGCCUCGUCACGCCGCCAUAGCGCCACCUGCUGCCCCGGGCGGCCGGGAAAUGGAGACCGCGAUCGCCCACCUGCCGGCCUGUUGGGGCUUUUCCCCCGACCCAAGGUGGAGGCAAUGUGAUACUGAUAUUUCUAAGCUUUAUACCAACAACCUGGCAUAUGAAGCAAAGAAGCCCUGUCAGAUGAGUAUUCCUGGUCCCAUAACACACAGCAUUUUCAAAGGAGUUGUUGUGGUUUAACCCAGCAGGUGGCUCACCACCACACAGUCAUUCACUCAUGACUUAGUGCGUGUUCUGUUUUAAAUCUUUAUUGAUGAUCUGGACAAGAAGAUUUAGUGUACCCUCAGUAAGUUUGCAGAUAGCACCAAGCUGCUAAGAAGUGUCAAUCUGCCUGGGGGUAAGAAGGUCCUACAGAGGGAUCUGGACAGUGUCCAUCACUGGGAUGAAGCCAGUAGGAUGAAAUUCAACAAGACCAAGUGCCAGGUCCUGAACUUUGGCCACAACAACCCCAGGAAAUGCUACAGGCUUGAGGCAGAGUGGCUGGAAGGUUGUGCAAAAGAAAUGGACCUCGGGGUGCUGGUCAGUGCUUGGCUAAACUUGAACCAGCAGUGUGCCCAGGUAGCCAAGAAGGCCAAUGGCAUCCUGAUUGUAUCAGAAAUAGUGUUGUCAAGCA